rnacentral:rRNA from 1 species
UACUAGAGUAGCACUCGCAUAUCAAUAAGCGGAGGAAAAGAAACUAACAAGGAUUCCCCUAGUAACGGCGAGUGAAGCGGGAAGAGCUCAAAUCUGAAAUCUUAAAGGGUUUCCCUUUACGAAUUGUAGUUUAAAGAAGUGUUUUCUGUUGAGGUUUUGGUAAAAGUUCUUUGGAAUAGGACAUCAUAGAGGGUGAGAAUCCCGUAUUUGACCUUUACUUUCAACUUUGUGAUACACUUUCAAAGAGUCGGAUUGUUUGGGAAUGCAGUCCAAAAUGGGUGGUAAAUUUCAUCUAAAGCUAAAUAUUGGCGAGAGACCGAUAGCGAACAAGUACCGUGAGGGAAAGAUGAAAAGAACUUUGAAAAGAGAGUUAAACAGUACGUGAAAUUGUCAGAAGGGAAGCGUUUGACACCAGUGUUGUUUUUCUGAAAAUCAAUUAAAGAACUGUUUAUGCUAAGCUUGUUUAGACUUUAUCAGCUAUCUGUUUAGUUUUGAGCUUUCCUUUAAUGCACUUUUCAGUUAACAAGUCAACAUCAAUUUCUUUUGCUGUAAAAAAGCUUGAGGAAGGUGGCUUGAGAUUCGUCUUAAGUGUUUAUAGCCUCUUGCCUAUGCAGUCGGAGAGAUUGAGGUCUGCAGCGUAGAUCCUUCGGGGCUAAAUGCAUUUGUGCUAAGUUAUAGCAUUUUAUAGACAACUUGUUGACUAUGAUUUGUCUUGUAGCUUACUCGCUUAUGUUAUUUUACCUACGCUUAGGAUGUUGAUCUACAGAGCGAGAGUA